GACGAACGCUGGCGGCGUGCCUAAUACAUGCAAGUAGAACGCUGAAGAGAGGAGCUUGCUCUUCUUGGAUGAGUUGCGAACGGGUGAGUAACGCGUAGGUAACCUGCCUGGUAGCGGGGGAUAACUAUUGGAAACGAUAGCUAAUACCGCAUAACAACAGUUGUUGCAUGACAGCUGUUUAAAAGAUGCAAUUGCAUCACUACCAGAUGGACCUGCGUUGUGUUAGCUAGUUGGUGAGGUAACGGCUCACCAAGGCGACGAUACAUAGCCGACCUGAGAGGGUGAUCGGCCACACUGGGACUGAGACACGGCCCAGACUCCUACGGGAGGCAGCAGUAGGGAAUCUUCGGCAAUGGGGGGAACCCUGACCGAGCAACGCCGCGUGAGUGAAGAAGGUUUUCGGAUCGUAAAGCUCUGUUGUAAGAGAAGAACGGGUGUGAGAGUGGAAAGUUCACACUGUGACGGUAUCUUACCAGAAAGAGACGGCUAACUACGUG
rnacentral:rRNA from 1 species